UGUAAAAAAUUUCACCAAUUUAUAUGCUAAAAACUUGUGUGGCUAACGGAAUAACCAAACAAUGACACAUGACGUGCAACAUGUAUCUCAUGUUAAUGUACAGGGACGAGUUUUUAACAAUAAAAAUGGAUGAAAAUUUUAACA
rnacentral:pre_miRNA from 1 species